rnacentral:tRNA from 1 species
UCGGCGUAGAUCGGCACGAUCACCGCCUCGUUGGCGAUCAGGAAGUUCAUGUGCGAGGCCGGGAUGAUCUCGCCGUCCUCGUCGAC